AGAGCGUGAAACUACCACGAGGUUAAAACUGAUGGACAAACGUGGUCGAAGAGAGGUUAUCCACCCCCUGGUUACGAGGCCUGCCCCUUCGCAUAGACGGACUUCCCUUUGCCGUUAAGCGCGCCGAGGCAGGAUCGUUUUCCACGCCUCUCGCGCGCGCGCUUGGCGAGCUUAUAUAUAUGGAUGGGAGCCUGAGGGAGUUUGGUCUCGUUUCCCGGGGGGCGCAAUUCCCUACCCAGUAGGCCGUCUCGGCCGUUGUCGCGUUUCCUGAGGCUCGGAGAACUAGGGAAGCGACGCGCGUCGCUCCCCGUCCGCCGCCGCGUUCGGGGGGGACAGGCCGCGUCGUGGACGCUCCGGUGGUAAUCUGAGGAACGCUGGCGACGGCUAAUGCUCAAAUAGACUGUCCCCGUUCACGAGGAGGGUGACGAUGGUUCCCUGUCCAGUAAAACGGUACGUUGGGAAAUCCGGUAGGUUGCCGUUUGCACUCGGGUGUCGUAUGGGACCGUACGGGGCGCUGUAUGAGAGCGUACGUUCAUCAGACCCGUCUUGAAACACGGACCAAGGAGUCUAGCAUGUGCGCGAGUAAAAGGGCUGGCUAAACCCUUAAGCGAAACGAAAGUGAGCAACACAUUUUUGUCAUACCGCUUGGACCCCGCCUGGGGACUUCCCCUAACUGGCGCGGAAAGCCCGCCGGAGAAUAGCGGAGCGUCCUCCCGGUUCGUCCGGUCUAGAGAUGCGCGCCGCUACCACUGGUUUAGGGGCCGCGUACGUCAGGGGGUUGUUGCCGGGGGCCGAGCGGUUUGGGCUGAUCCGGACAGAAUGGGUGCAUAGCUUUCUCCAUCUCUCUGUCCUUAUUUGCAUGCGGGGAGAGAAAGAAAGAAGGUCAAUGGGCUCCCAAAUCGGCGCAAGCCCGGGGCUCGUGGCGGUUCUUCCAGUAAUGCCGGGUUGUCCUUUUCAGCUUAAGUUACUGGAACGGUGCGUAGGGUCGGAUCGUGGUGGGACGAUCCAAUAGAGUUUGGGAGACCAGGCCGUUGGUGAAGGCCCAUCUCCGGCCCUCCAUCAAGGUCCGUAACCAUAGCGGGGAUGCCACACCAAACGGCCGAGGAAGGACCGCGGGUGCCCAGAGCGUACAUGCUAGUACCCGAAAGAUGGUGAUCUAUGCCUGACCAGGAUGAAGCCAGAGGAAACUCUGGUGGAGGUCCGAAGCGUUUCUGACGUGCAAAUCGAUCGUCGGAGUUGCGUAUAGGGCGAAAGACCAUCA
rnacentral:rRNA from 1 species